GUUACAUUUCGAAGACUUUGUUAAUGUACAUGUAAAAUGAUGUUUACAACUUUUCGACAGGGAAACCAGUAACAGGUUUUAAUUCUGAUGCCAAUGAACGAAGUUGGUCUAUUUCUUGUUGGGUUAGUCUCCAACCCAACGCACCACCAAAUUCUUUAGCCUGCUCAGCAUUUUUGGCUCCUGGGAUGGGAACAACAUUCUCCUGUGCAAUCAACCAAUUCAGGACCACCUGAGUUGAAGUCUUAUUGUAGCUAUCUCCAAUCUCCUUUAUUCUAUUUAUGAGUGGCUGCAAUUUGGUAAGAACUUCAGGAGUAUAGAUCUGUCCGCGAGGGCCAGUGGGAGGAUUUUCUGGAGUAUAUUUUCCAGUCAAAGCUCCUUGAGCAAUGGGUGAAUAUGCAAUCAACGUGACUCCCAAUUCAUCACAGGCGGCCUUGACACCAUUUUGCUCUGGCAACCUGUAUAUCAGACUAUAAUUGACUUGAUUUGAAGCUAGUGGAAUACCUCUCCUCUUCAGCUGCUCAUAUGCAUCGCGAAGACGCUUUUCACUAUAGUUAGAUACUCCCACAGCUUUUACAAGGCCCUGCUCCACUGCAU
rnacentral:misc_RNA from 1 species